rnacentral:rRNA from 1 species
ACUCAAAGGAAUAGACGGGGGCUCACACAAGCGGUGGAGGAUGUUGCUCAAUUCGAAGCAACGCGAAGAACCUUACCAGGAUUUGACAUGCUGGGAUUAUCCCUAUGAAAGUAGGGUGAUUGCCUUCGGGUGUAACCAGCACAGGUGUUGCAUGGCUGUCGUCAGCUCGUGCCUUGAGGUGUUGGGUUAAGUCCCCUAACGAGCGAAACCCUUAUCGUUAGUUGCGACCGGGUCAUGCCGAGCACUCUAGCGAGACUGCCCGUGUCAAACGGGAGGAAGGUGAGGACGACGUCAAGUCAUCAUGGCCCUUAUAUCCUGGGCUGCAAACGUCCUACAAUGGCCCGUACAAAGGGAAGCGAAGCCGCGAGGCGGAGCAAAUCCCAAAAAGCAGGCCCUAGUUCGGAUUGCAGGCUGAAAUUCGCCUGCAUGAAGCUGGAAUCGCUAGUAAUCGCGGAUCAGAACGCCGCGGUGAAUAUGUUCCUGAGCCUUGUACACACCGCCCGU